rnacentral:sRNA from 1 species
AGUCCUGACCGCACGGGGGGCGCGGCUACGGGGCGCAGGGGCCAUGGUGCGCGGCAGGAUCUCCCGGCUCUCGGUCCGGGACGUGCGCUUCCCCACGUCGCUUGGGGGCCACGGCUCGGACGCCAUGGUAAGCCACACGGACCCUGACUACUCGGCUGCCUAUGUCGUCAUAGAAACUGAUGCAGAAGAUGGAAUCAAGGGGUGUGGAAUUACCUUCACUCUGGGAAAAGGCACUGAAGUUGUUGUCUGUGCUGUGAAUGCCCUCGCCCACCAUGUGCUCAACAAGGACCUCAAGGACAUUGUUGGUGACUUCAGAGGCUUCUAUAGGCAG